AUUGAACGCUGGCGGCAGGCCUCACACCUGCAAGUCGAACGAGUGGCGGACGGGUGAGUAAUGUCUGGGAAACUGCCUGAUGGAGGGGGAUAACUACUAGACACGGUCGCUAAUACCGCAUACCAUCAGAUGUGCCCAGAUGGGAUUAGCUAGUUGGUGGGGUAACGGCUCACCAAGGCGAAGAUCCCUAGCUGGACUGGACGGAUGACCAGCAACACGUGAACGUAGACACGGUCGAGACUCUUACGUGAGGAAGCAGUGGGGAAUAUUGCACAAGGGGCGCAAGCCUGAUGCAGCAAUGCCGCGUGUAUGAAGAAGGCCUUCGGGUUGUAAAGUACUUUCAGCGGGGAGGCGUUACCCACAGAAGAAGCACCGGCUAACUCAGUGCCAGCCGCCGCGGUAAUUC
rnacentral:rRNA from 1 species